rnacentral:rRNA from 1 species
AUCGGAUCUCAGAUUAGGUAAGACUACCCGCUGAAUUUAAGCAUAUAAUUAAGCGGAGGAAAAGAAACUAACAAGGAUUCCCCCAGUAAGGGCGACUGAAAAGGGAAGAGCUCACCGUGUGAAUCUGCGCAUACCGCGCAAGCGGGCGCGCCGAAUUGUGGUCUGGAGAGACAUUGUCGACCGUGGUUCCGGGCCAAGUCCCUUGGAAAAGGGCAGCUGAGAGGGUGAAACUCCCGUUCUUGCCUGGGAUUUGCGUGUCAUGGCACGUGUUCUCAAAGAGUCGAGUUGCUUGGGAUUGCAGCUCAAAGUGGGUGGUAAAUUCCAUCUAAAGCUAAAUAUUGGUGGGAGACCGAUAGCGCACAAGUACCGUGAGGGAAAGAUGCAAAGAACUUUGAAAAGAGAGUUAAAGAGUACCUGAAAUUGCUGAAAGGGAAGCAAAGGAAACCAGUGCGUUGUGCGUGUCAUAUUUCUCCUGCUGCUUGCGGUGGGGGCGCUGUGGCCGUGCGUAGCGUCAGCAUCGGUUCGUACUUCGGAGCAAACGGUGUGGCUGGAGGUUAUUCCAUUACGGGAUGAAUGACAGCCGCUCUAAGUUCUGGAGGGGACCG